CAGCCGCCGCGGUAAUACAGAGGGUGCGAGCGUUAAUCGGAUUUACUGGGCGUAAAGCGUGCGUAGGCGGCUAAUUGAGUCGGAUGUGAAAUCCCCGAGCUUAACUUGGGAAUUGCAUUCGAUACUGGUUAGCUAGAGUGUGGGAGAGGAUGGUAGAAUUCCAGGUGUAGCGGUGAAAUGCGUAGAGAUCUGGAGGAAUACCGAUGGCGAAGGCAGCCAUCUGGCCUAAUACUGACGCUGAGGUACGAAAGCAUGGGGAGCAAACAGGAUUAGAUACCCCCGUAGUCCCUGUCUCUUAUAA
rnacentral:rRNA from 1 species